UUUUUUUGUUACUGCUACUGCAGAGCUUGUGUUUUUUUCACCCCCUCUUUGCUUUUGCACACUUGUUGCUGCACAUUUCAAUCCAUUGAAUUCUUGGCUGGCCAGAGUUAACCACUCCCCUGGUUUCUAUUUUCUUUUCUUUUUUCCUUGUUCUUUUCCUUCUUCUUCUUCCCCUGGAGUCCUGAGACACAGUGACCCACUUUCAGUUCCUUCCUCUCUCAGAAACAGAGCGUGCAUUAAGAGGAUGGGAGGGGGACUUUGCCUUGAUUCAUUACCAGGGAACCCCUGGCACGACGUACCCCCUCCUCUGCAUUUUUUACCUUCCCCCCACAACUGAGUCUGGCAGGGCCACGGGUUCAGAGACGUGCGAGGCGAACAGCAGAAUGUAGGUCAGCCAUGGGUGCUGAGUUACCGAUUAGAAACAGCUGUGUGUUUGUGGGCCGGCCGCUCUCUGUGCUGCAGCGAGCAGCAACUGCUGAGCCGCACAGACCAAUCAUUUCACUGUGGCGUCUCCGGCUGUAAAACUCUGCACUCAGAGCCACUUUGGACCUGUAAAAAAAUAAAAUAAAUAAAAAUCAGAAAUAAAGGGGCUGAAAGAGCGCUCUGG